UUUUUUGAUGAUUGUUCUUUUUUUCUGAAGAGUCGAAUGCUGGGGAUUUCUUCAGCAUUCUUUUCUUGUAGAAAGAAUAAGAACGGCCAACUGAUUA
rnacentral:snoRNA from 1 species